rnacentral:rRNA from 1 species
UACGGAGGGUGCAAGCGUUAUCCGGAUUCACUGGGUUUAAAGGGUGCGUAGGAGGGCAGGUAAGUCAGUGGUGAAAUCUUCGAGCUUAACUCGGAAACUGCCGUUGAUACUAUCUGUCUUGAAUACCGUGGAGGUGAGCGGAAUAUGUCAUGUAGCGGUGAAAUGCUUAGAUAUGACAUAGAACACCAAUUGCGAAGGCAGCUCGCUACACGAAUAUUGACUCUGAGGCACGAAAGCGUGUGGAUCAAACAGG